rnacentral:sRNA from 1 species
UCUCCAGUACUGAAUGCUGGAAUUUUCCAAUGAACAUGAAACGUAUGGUAUGAGAUUUCAACAUAGAAUCCACAAGUGUGGACUGACAUAUCCCGAUAAUUGAUUCUUCAAUUCGUAUGGAAAAUCACAUUACAAAGUCAUUCCCUCCAGAUUCCGGCCGUAUAGCAGACGGCCGCAUCGCAAGCGGCCGUAGGGGAGCGGAGAUCAAGAUCCCUCCUUCACCAACUUGCAAGCUGGUAAAACUGGCAAGGCUGGCCUUCUCGGCGAAGUUGUUGUGGAAACCUUGAAGCACGGAAUCUUGCUGGUGGGUGAGGGGCAUCUCUGUAAAGCCUGGGGUAUUUUAAAUGCUGAUACGUCAAAUCCUUCUAGAAACGAAAAUGCUGACCUGCAGGAAUUUAAAUUCAACUAUUUUUCGUAUAUGCAUACUCUAGAUGGCAAAUCGAUGAUGUCAAUCAAUAAUUAGUAAUUAAAUACUAGUAACAAGUUAUCCGAUACUGAGCAAAUUGACAACGUGUGAAAUAUAUGACCCUUAUCAUCUAACACUAUUUCCGAAGGCUAAGGGCUGUGGGUUAGGAUUAUUUCCUUCAUCUAGGCUUGAGCAUAUCAGAAUAUUAGUGAUAGCUAUUGCAAUAGGCGGAAUGUUACCAGUCAAUUAGAUUUAGAAUAGUGGCUUGCUUUAUUUUACCAUCCGUAUUUCUAUGAGAGGACGAAGAUGAAGAAAACUUGAGACGAAGGGCCAAUACAAGUGCCCAGCUGUUCUCCAGCUGGGUAACUCCUUCGACAACUCUUAUAAGUAAAA